rnacentral:rRNA from 1 species
CGGUUGAUCCUGCCGGACCCGACUGCUAUCGGAUUGAGACUAAGCCAUGCGAGUCAACCCGCAAGGGUGGCGGACGGCUCAGUAACACGUAGUGAACCUGCCCUGGGGACGUGGACAACCAUGGGAAACUGUGGCUAAACCGCGAUAGGUCAUUGUUUCUGGAAUGGGCAAUGGCUCAAACCUACAUGGCCCCAGGACGGCACUGCGGCCGAUCAGGUUGUUGGUGAGGUAAUGGCCCACCAAGCCUGUAACCGGUACGGGCUCUGAGAGGAGGAGCCUGGAGAUGGGCACUGAGACAAGGGCCCAGGUCCUAUGGGACGCAGCAGGCGCGAAACCUUCGCAAUAGGCGAAAGCCUGACGAGGUUAUUCCGAGUGUUCCCUGCUAAAGGGAUCUUUUGCCAGCUCUAAAAAUGCUGGUGAAUAAGGGGUGGGCAAGCCUGGUGUCAGCCGCCGCGGUAAUACCAGCACCCCGAGUGGUCGGGAUGAUUAUUUGGCCUAAAGCAUCCGUAGCCGGCGCAUCAAGUCUUCCGUUAAAUCCACCUGCUCAACAGAUGGGCUGCGGGAGAUACUGCUGCGCUAGGAGGCGGGAGAGGCGAGGGGUAUUCCAUGGGUAGGGGUAAAAUCCUCUGAUCCAUGGAGGACCACCAGUGGCGAAGGCGUCUCGCCAGAACGCGCUCGACGGUGAGGGAUGAAAGCUGGGGGAGCAAACCGGAUUAGAUACCCGGGUAGUCCCAGCUGUAAACGAUGUAGGCUCGGUGAUGGACUGGAUUCGAUCCAGCCCAGUGCCGCAGGGAAGCCGUUAAGCCUACCGCCUGGGGAGUACGGUCGCAAGACUGAAACUUAAAGGAAUUGGCGGGGGAGCACCACAAGGGGUGAAGCCUGCGGUUCAAUUGGAUUCAACGCCGGG